rnacentral:rRNA from 1 species
UCCGCAGGCGGGAAAAUAAGUCAGUGGUGAAAUCCUACAGCUUAACUGUAGAACUGCCAUUGAAACUGUUUUUCUUGAGUAUAGAUGAAGUGGGCGGAAUGUGUCAUGUAGCGGUGAAAUGCAUAGAUAUGACACAGAACACCGAUUGCGAAGGCAGCUCACUAAACUAUUACUGACGCUCAGGGACGAAAGCGUGGGGAGCGAACAGGAUUAGAUACCCUGGUAGUCC